rnacentral:rRNA from 1 species
GCUGCAUGACUCGGGCUCUUCUUGCGCAGGCUAGGUGGGAGGCGUUGAUUGUUUGCUUGUGGGUGCGCUGGAGCCAUCGGUGAGAUACCACUCUGUAAAAGCUAGAGUUCUAAUGGUGAUCUUUUAUCCGGGACACUUGACAGUUUCAGGUGGACAGUUUUCCUGGGGGCGGGAACCUCCUAAAGCGUAACGGAGGUGUGCAAAGGUUCUCUCAGUCUGGACGAAAAUCACACAUUGAUUGUAAAGGCAAAACAAACCUUGACUGUAAAACCAACAAGUCAAGCAGGGCCAAAAGCCGGCCUUAUGGAUCCAACGGUGCCAUGGGAAAGGCCCGCCCCUCACCGGACAAAAUUUACCCUAGGGAAAAAAGGCUAA